rnacentral:rRNA from 1 species
AUUGAACGCUGUCGGCAUGCCUUACACAUGCAAGUCGAACGGUAACAGGUCUUCGGAUGCUGACGAGUGGCGAACGGGUGAGUAAUACAUCGGAACGUGCCUAGUAGUGGGGGAUAACUACUCGAAAGAGUGGCUAAUACCGCAUGAGAUCUACGGAUGAAAGCAGGGGAUCGCAAGACCUUGUGCUACUAGAGCGGACGAUGGCAGAUUAGGUAGUUGGUGGGAUAAAAGCUUACCAAGCCGCAGAUAUGUAGCUGGUGUUAGAGGACAAUGUGACACACUGGGAGUGAGGCACGGCCCAGACUCAUCCGGGAGGCAGCAGUGGGAAAUUGUGGACAAUGGGCGCAAGCCUGAUCCAGCAAUGCCGCGUGCAGGAUGAAGGCCUUCGGGUUGUAAACUGCUUUUGUACGGAACGAAAAGCCCCGGGUUAAUACCCUGGGGUCAUGACGGUACCGUAAGAAUAAGCACCGGCUAACUACGUGCCAGCCGCCGCGGUAA